GACGAACGCUAGCGGCAGGCCUAAUACAUGCAAGUCGAACGGUAAGGUCUCUUCGGAGAUACACGAGUGGCGCACGGGUGCGUAACGCGUAUACAACCUACCCUUUAGUGGGGGAUAACUUCUGGAAACGGGAGCUAAUACCCCAUAUGCACUCAGGAUCGCAUGAUCUAGAGUGGAAAACUCCGGUGCUAAGGGAUGGGUAUGCGUGACAUUAGCUAGUUGGUGAGGUAAUGGCUCACCAAGGCAACGAUGUCUAGCUGGUCUGAGAGGAUGAUCAGCCACACGGGCACUGAGACACGGGCCCGACUCCUACGGGAGGCAGCAGUAAGGAAUAUUGGUCAAUGGACGAAAGUCUGAACCAGCCAUGCCGCGUGCAGGAAGACGGCCCUCUGGGUUGUAAACUGCUUUUAUUUGGGGCUAAUGGGGUUCUAUACGAACCUUUGCAGGUACCAUUUGAAUAAGCACCGGCUAACUACG
rnacentral:rRNA from 1 species